CAGUAGCCGCGGGAAUACAGAGGGUGCAAGCGUUAAUCGGAAUUACUGGGCGUAAAGCGCGCGUAGGUGGUUUGUUAAGUUGGAUGUGAAAUCCCCGGGCUCAACCUGGGAACUGCAUCCAAAACUGGCAGGCUAGAGUAGGGCAGAGGGUGGUGGAAUUUCCUGUGUAGCGGUGAAAUGCGUAGAUAUAGGAAGGAACACCAGUGGCGAAGGCGACCACCUGGGCUCAUACUGACACUGAGGUGCGAAAGCGUGGGGAGCAAACAGGAUUAGAUACCCCGGUAGUCCCUGUCUCUUAUAA
rnacentral:rRNA from 1 species